UUUCUAACACUUUUUGUUAGGAGAAUGUACUAAGGUUUAUGUGAUUGUAAAAAUUUUUCACAUAGUGGUCGGUUGUUGUCUUUUGACAACGGUUGUGGUUUUUCUCGGUUUUGGGUUUCCACGUUAAAUUUUUGUGUUGUUUUAUUUCUCAUUUUUUUCCUCUUUACAAAAGGGACGGAGAUCUCGGGGUUUACGAGAAAGGGUCAUUUCUUUUUUUCCAACACUAUAAACACAAAUAGAACACACACGCAUACAGAUUUUUGAUUUUCAAUGGAGUCCGAUUGAGGUUGAGUUGCAGGAGAUCCGUUCGAAGUUUCCGGCGACGUUUCAAUGUCGAAAUUCUAACUCAUAGCUUCAGUUUAGUUUUUAGUCCGUUGGUUUUGCCCUGUUUUGUACGUUGAUUUUGUUCAUCAAUAAAAUUCGUUCAAUAAUCGGAUUUUCUGGUUUUCAGACUCGAAGAAAUUCGAAGGAAACUUCAGUUUUUGAAAUUUGCGUUUGAAGAUCUCGCUGUUGUUCCUGCGCCGGAAUUUGUUCAAACUGCUCUCCUUACGGCACUGUUUCAAUUCCAACUUUGUAAUUCAGAUUGGUUUGAUAAUGUGCAUGAUGUUAUUGUGUUUAGGUCUCCUCAAAUCGUUUUAUUAAAUGCGUGAGUUCUAAAAUAUAAUUUUGGAAGCCAGAUUUGUAAAGCAGUGACUUUCUUUGUUAGAUUCGUAUUGACGAAAUUCAAUAGUCAUUUUAUUUAA
rnacentral:lncRNA from 1 species